CCGCUGCCCGCACGACCGCACGACCUCUCGCCCUAUCCUCCUCGUCUCGCACCGUCGCCGCCCCGUCGUUCCUCCCGCAGCCUCGUGCCGCCCGCUGCGCCCUUCGCCGCCUCCCGCAGCCGUGCCCUUCGCCGCGGGAGCCGCUGCCGCAGGUCGCUGCGGGUCGCCCCGCGGGAGCCGCCGCGCCCUUAGCCCGCCGCCGAAGCCGCCCGACCGCCCAGCUUGGCGUCCGCCCCGCCGCCCGCCGUUCCUUUUCUGCUUCCCGACGGCCUAAUGCAAACAAUGACAAUGAUCAGCACAUGUAAAGCCGCUUUUAUCUAUGGGGAACCCAGAGACUGUUGCUCCCCCACCAAUGCUUGAUUGUAGCCAAUCAUUUGUAAGUUCCUUUUACUCUCCAAAUCCUGUAAGAUCUUUUACAGUUCAAGGUGAUUACAUAUCCCAUUUAUAUCUCCGUGGUUCACUUAUGAGUUCUUUAAAUUCGUUUACGAUUUGUUGGGUUUUGGAGAUCUUAUUCAUUCUGCUAUGGCUUGGUCUCAUCGAGAAGAUAAUCUUUUUACCUCCUUACUGCUGAGUUCAAUUACUGUUGCUUACCGUUGCGAAGCAACAGAACACACUAGAAGUGUUCUCUUAAAGGAUAAAGAAAUGCAUAAACAGAUCUUCCAUUGUUUUCGCAUUAAGGGCUUGAGCUUUAUUGACCGCUUCAGAAAUAAUGGAAACAAAUGGAUAGGAUUGACUGAAAUCAUAUUUUGAUCCUGCCAAUGCACAUGAUAGUGGUCAUAUUUAAUUAUCGGCCACUCCUAUCCUAUUACUAUGCUUCUUACGUUGUGUGCCUGUACGAAUUUCCCAGAGAGCCGCCAUGGGCACUCUGGUUGGCAACAGCUUCUUCACCUCUUCUCUGGUGAGGAAAACGUUGCAUGAUAUUCAAAGAAUAUGCAACUUUCCUACAUGAUUCAGUUUCUAUAAUUUCCUAUUGCUGUGGUUAUGUAAAAAAAAUGUCUAGACCAAGAUUAUUUAUUCUAGAAAGGAAAAGGUAAAAGGAAGAAGAAUAGUACCUCUUUCAGUUCAUGGCGAACCAAUGCCAGUGUUAUGUGUUUGCUGAUUUCUUAACCAAACCAAUGAUUUGGUACAACUUCUGUUGUUUCUUCUAUAUGAUAUCAGUUUUUCAAAUCACAAAAGUAUUUCCCUAGCUUUGUUUUUGAUAUAUGCAGGCUGACGAUUCUAAAUUAUUGAGCUUCUGCUACAAACUGAAGUAAAUCCUCUAUGUCUUCGCAUUGUGGACUUGGGCACUGAACUUUCGAAAACAGUAUGACCUCGACCCUUUAAAUGUAAUGAUCGUUUAGUUCUGGUUGUAGCCGUUGAUAAUGCGUCUACAUAUUUUCUUUACUAUGGGUUAAUUGUUAUAACCCAUAGGUUACUAGGAUUUGUGCUUUAAAUGUUUUUCUUACCCUUUUGUGCAAAUGAGGCACAAGAUCGAUCACAUUUAUGCAGAGUAUCCCGGCCCCGAAUUUUACUGGCAAGCAACACCAAUUUGGAUUAUCCAGAUAAGCCAACCAUAUGUUUGAUUAGGAAACAGCGAACCAGUGUUGUAUAUUUCUUCUUUUCCCCUGAUGACCAUGUUCGUUCUUCUGGACAGUUGGACACGGCAUAUCUAUUUGCCUUCUCCUAAUGUACAAGCUAUUUAAGAUUUUAUUCGUUUUCUACUGAUGUUACUUCAUAUGAGAUCAAGGUUAUGACAAUCUGCAAUUUUUUCUGCUAGCAUAUAUGUGUUCUGGAUGCGUUGAUUUAACCAAAGGAGUGUUAUGUUAUCUUCUGAUACACUUAUUCAUUAAUGAGAUUUUGAAGGAAAGUUAUGAACACAUGUAUAUGUGGCAUACCUUAUUUUGAAGUAUGGCCAGCAGCAGCUCAGAACAAUAAGAAUGACCAUUUUUUAAAACUUUUGUACAGAGACAUGCUUAGGUACAUUGAAAAACAGAUGUUGUAAAUAAUAGCUUUUCUGAAACUUAAUUCACGUAUAAGUUCGUUUGCAGUAUUUUUGACUGCUACUGUUGGACUAUCUUUUUUAUACACGUGAAUUUUCACGUGCAAGAUUACAGUGGAUAUCAUCCGAGAAAAUAAGAACUCCUGAAACUGGCAGUGGGUGGCACUGCUAGCUACAGUGCCCCUACUCCUGGAUCAUCACUCAAGUGUACUUUUGUCUGCAACUAGAAAGAGAGUGUUGAAGGAAGUUUUGGGACCUCUUGAUUGUGAACUUUCUUCAAAGAUGCAUGGCUGUUGUAUCCUCUCUGACAAUAUAAAAGUUUUUGCCAUGAUAUAUCUUGUUGCGGUUUCAUAAACUGAACAAUCUUCAAAGUGCCCAGAUGUCUUUUCAUAUUGAAACUGCACUUUCAUUGAAUAUAUUGCCAUCAAUUCCACAGAUUUCUACUCACUUUGUUGUUCUGCACUUUGAAUUGACAGUGUCCAAAAGGUAUAUUAUUUUAUUUUACACGCUCACCCUAGAUGCCACCACACAAUUACAGCUUACAAUUACCGGUUCUUUUAGAAUUAAAUGGAAGUGCAUACUGAUUUCAGCUUCUAAGCAAAUGUUUGACAGGUUCCCCUUCAAUCUGAAUCACAUGAAAUGGAGAGUUUACCGAGAGUCCGUGGAAGAAAUCUACACGCCAUCAUGAGGAAAGAGGGAUCUACAAAGAGUGUAAACUGUACUUCCUCCGUAAACAAAUGUAAGAGCGUUUAGAUCACUCAAGUAGUGUAAACACUCUUAUAUUUCUUUACGGAGGGAGUACCUAUAUUUUCUUCUUCAAGUAGAUCUUUUAUCUCUCUGAUUUAAGGAAGCUGUCUAUUCUAUGCGUUGCACUAGGUGGCUAUGUGCACAUAAAUCAGUCAAGGAGCAGGCUUCAUUGAAGAGUGAUCCAGAACUAACGUACAUUUGUGAACAUUGUGCAGUUCUUGCUGAAUUCUGGACUUGAGGGUUCCCUCUAUUCCAAUUUUUUUAAAGUAUUUGACAGUUAUAUCAGCGUCCAAAUGAAAGUACUCCCUCCGUCCCAUAAUAUAACAUCUUAUUACAUUCAUUUUGCUCACAAAUUGGGUGUAAUAAGAUCUUAUAUUAUGGGAUGGAGGGAGUACAAUCGAUUCAUAUUCUGUGCAUCUUUGUACUUACCGUUGCUGGAUGAAAAUUUGGACAUACAUAGAUAGCUCCAGAUGUAGCCUAAAUGUUUUUUUACUCGCAGCUGCUACGCUACUGCUCGCCUACCCCCGCAGCUAGCCUACCCGCCGCUGCUCGCCUACGCGAGGUGUUCGACGGAAAAUUCCCUUCAAGGACGGCAUCACGUGGGCGACCAUGGUGUCUGCAUCCCGCCAGUUCGCGCCCUCCAUAUGCCUGGGUAUGUUAGAUGUGAGGCACUUGGCUUGGAUCUUCCCCAGAGCAGCACUGUGUACGUACAACUACAAGCUAAGCAAGCUGCUGAUUGAUUUUACCACGUAGACGUUGGUCUGAACCUUCUGGCCGGCUACAUAAGCAAGCACUCAGGCAGCUGGAAGGAUUCCGGGCGCACAGCUUGCCGUGAACCUUAAAUUGCUGCUCCAACAGGUAGCAAACCAAUCAUUUGAUAUUUGAGGGACAACAGUCAGCAGGCGCUUUGAGGAAGCAUUGGUGCUGGCAAACAAAAGAAUGCUUUAGGUAUACCUAUUUACACUUUUCAAUUGGUUUGAUGCCAUCUGUAUGUGAUUCACUGACCAAGAAUGGAAAUAUUCCUUGCUAUUAGAAAUUUCUAUGGUGGUGCUUCUUUAGGUUCCACCUGAUGAAUGUUCCAGUGCCAAUAAUCGGUUAUAUAUACUUUGUAAUGGUGAUUCCUAAUUUGGUCUAACUUUCUAACUAUUAGCUACAGUUUACUUCAGUGGUAAUGCAGGUACGCAAAGGAAGAAUUACUGGCUAUGGAUGAUUACUAUGAGCGUAUGAAAUUAUUAAUUGUGUAGGUUUCUUAAGCUAGAUGGGUUGUUCUAGCUUGUGAUGGUUAAAUUUUUUACACAAUAGCAGUACUAGAUUAGUUGUUCUAGCUUCUUUAGGCUGUAACCAUUUGAAGGUAAUUUGAAGAUCGAUCCCACAGCUGAGUAUAUUCUGUUUUUUAUUAACCCGCAACAGAGUGUGUAUAGGAAAGUGUACUUUUGUGAAUUGUUAGUGCUCGCUUUUCUUACUGUACUGUAUCAGGCUGCUCAUGUUCAAAUUCUUCAGCGUUUUGUACACAUGAAAGGUACUUUUGUAAAUCAGUUUUUCAAAUUGGCAUCGAUAAGAUGCAUGUAUCCUUCUAAAAAAUUAACACCAAUGUUUCAUUUUUUUUGUGAGAUCAUUCCUUUUCUUUUGGACAGCUUUUGGAGAUUUUUAAGAUAGCUUUUUCUGUGGGCAAGCUGGACCUGAUACUCAAAGGACCUUAAGUUCUAACCAAAGAUGACAAUGUGGAUGGUCACAUUAUAAAGUGUUUUUUUUUUCUCACACACAUGUAAGUUUUGUCUCACUGUGUAUUAAAAGAAUGGUGAAAAGGUGAGAAUCAGUAUAAAGUGGGGACAGAGGAUCAUGCUUUCAAAGUUGGUCAGGUUUCACAAUAAUACUUGUGCAUG